rnacentral:lncRNA from 1 species
UUUUCCAUUGUGGCACUGGAACUGUGGAUCAGACUUUAUGAAACUGGUUGGGGAUGUGUACAGGAGACGGCCGCCAAGGAAGCAAGCCCGGUAAGCGUACGCCAGACCCCUGCAUGGUAUAAAGGUUUACACAGCUGUAUUUGUGGCGCAUGCAACAAGGAUUUUCGUUGAAGCGCUGAGAGGGUAAUGCAGGGCGGCGACACCAGCAGCAGCAACGAUGGGCUAGCGGAGGGGGCAAGUCCACCACAUCACGGCGCAGGAGAGUCCAGUUCAGUUGGAGAGCAGCUGGACGCGGGACGGCGCAACGAGCCCCUAGCAGGCACGAUAGCACCGAACCGUAAGUGUUUUACAAGUAUUGGCCGAGACCCUUAUUCCCCUACACCUAUUAGUAACUGACCGUAAUAACAACACAGGAGCAGUGGUUCAUUCACCCAGGUUUUGCUUCCUGCUGACCUGGCCCUCAGGGUGUAGCGAAGAGGUUCCAAGUCCAGCAACUGACACGCAGCCUCACACUCAGGACGGGCCGCCUGCCUCGGUUGCCCUGCCAAAUAAUCGGAGGGUCUCUGCCAGCGUAGCAGCUCGUCAGCGGCUCGCAACGUACAGCGCUGCGCACAUGACCGCGGCAAUGGCCGGCUUCAAAAUAACCGAGCUGCCACGCGUCCCGAACCCAGCACCUGUGAACGCAGCGGGCAGCAGCUCAACCAGCUUCAAGGCCAGGUGCGCCAUUUGAUCUCCCGGGUCAGGGUCCUUUAAAAAAAAGGGAUACGGUGGUGGUUCUUCAGUUCGAGGACCCGCCAUGAAGCGUGAGAUACACUUCCAUGUGCUUUGGCUCCCCGCAGGGUCCUGCAGGCAACCAAUCUAAACCGUGUGGCCAAGGCGUACAAAGGCAGACCUUUGCCGCUUGUCGUCUCCGUCGAUGACGAGCCCGGGAUGGCGCGCAUCGCACAGAAGGUACGUCGACAUGAUUGCAUAUUGG